rnacentral:lncRNA from 1 species
CUUGGAAAAUGGUUGGAAUGUUUUGUUGGUAAACUUGGGUAAAGUUCGGUGAAUGGAGAAGAGAUGAUGGUAAGUGGUGAUGAUCUACCUUGAGGGGUAGAUAUGUGUUAUUUAUUCAUUUACAUUACUAGUUUUACUUACUCUAUAUUAUUGUUAUAAAAUUUCGUAGCGAAAUGUGUUGUGAACUAAAAUGGGCAUUUAUGCAAAUUAAUCUAUACACAGCUUAUCCUUGAAUAUGGCCAACAUGUAGUAUGCUAGGGUUGUUCCUAACUUGCUAGUACAUUAAUUUGAUUAAUGUACUGAUUUCUUGCCUUCUUUUACUUGUUUUUGGCUCAGACCCUGCUGCAAGUAAUGACUGUUUGGAUGAAGAGUUUGAUGUAGCUUGUGAUGUUGCAGAUUUCUAGGACGGUUCUAACUAGGGAUUUGCCCUAGCCGAUUUUCCUAUGGGCUUUUGGGCAGCAUGCUUACCGCAUGAACCAAUAUGUAUGGCUUGUCGCCAAGUACUACUUAGAACAUUAUUAAGACUAUUUAUGCUUUAUGCUUAGAACCACUUAUUAUUCGGAUAUCGUGCUU